CCCUUAGAUGUUCUGGGCCGCACGCGUGCUACACUGAGUGGAUCAGCGGGUCAGGUUGCGCGAAAGCGUUUCCUAAUCUUUAAAUCCGCUCGUGAUGGGGAUUGACGGUUGCAAUUUUCUGUCAUGAACGAGGAAUACCUUGUAAGCGCGGGUCAUCAUCCCGCGCUGAAUACGUCCCUGCCCUUUGUACACACCGCCCGUCGCACCUACCGAUUGAAUGUUUCGGUGAAGAUUCCGGAUAGGACUUUUUUGAUUUAUUUCAAUUCUGUCUUAAAAGCUAUCUAAACCUCAACAUUUAGAGGAAGGUGAAGUCGUAACA
rnacentral:rRNA from 1 species